rnacentral:rRNA from 1 species
AUUGAACGCUGGCGGCAGGCCUAACACAUGCAAGUCGAACGAGUGGCGGACGGGCGAGUAAUGUCUGGGAAACUGCCUGAUGGAGGGAGAUAACUACUGGAAACGGUAGCUAAUACCGCAUACCAUGGGUUCUGCCCAGGCUGGAGUAGCUAGUAGGUGGGGUAACGGCUCACCUAGGCGACGAUCCCUAGCUGGUCUGAGAGGAUGACCAGCCACACGGGAACGGAGACACGGUCCAGACUCCUACGGGAGGCAGCAGUGGGGAAUAUUGCGCAAUGGGCGCAAGCCUGAUGCAGCCAUGCCGCGUGUAUGAAGAAGGCCUUCGGGUGGUAAAGUACUUUCAGCGGGGAGGCGUUACCCGCAGAAGAAGCACCGGUUAACUCCGUGCCAGCAGCCGCGGUAAUAC